rnacentral:lncRNA from 1 species
UUUUUUUUUUUUUUUUUUUUCCUCUCCAGAUUGAGUCAAAGCUAAAUUUCCAUUGUGAUUCAUCCAGGCCUUGCUCACCCAUGUGACCUUGGGCAAGUCAUUUAACUCUAUAGCUUCAGCUACCAAUUAACUGGUGCUAAAGUUAGAUUAGAAAUACUCCAUACUUUGUAAGUUCUUGUAAGGAAUUUUUAAUUAAUUUAUUUAUUUAUUUAGGCAUAUAAAGUGCUUAAGGCCUUUUAGGCAAGGUCCCAAAGUGGCCCUUAGAAAAUGAUAACUACUAUUAACCAGAACAAUACAGUGUCUCGUGGCAGUGGCUAUAAAUCCUCCUCUAAGGCUAGGGACCAGUUUAAGAGUGUGCAGUGGUGGCAAUGUUGCCUUUGAAUGUUGAUUGUGUCAGAUGCUUCACACACAUUCUCAUUCAUUUUCAUGGCAGCCUCAUGGAGACAGUACUGUAACUAGCCCCACUUUGCAGAUGAAAGCCUGAGGCACCAAGGAAGUGACUCACCCAGCACGUCACCAGUGAUGAAGAUGCUGGGACUUAAAUCUAGUAUGACUGAUUUGUGAUUCAGAACUUAACCGUUACAUUGUUACAUUAUACUGCUUCUUAACUGUUGUAUUGUUCCAUUAUAUUGCUUUUGAUGAAAGCCGCUCUACCCAGGAGAAAAAAAAUUAGCUCACCCAAGACAUGCUGUACACAAUUUCCAGGUGCUCAUAAAUGUUUUGAAGGCUACAAUCCCAGGCCUUCGGCCCAGAGAGUCUCCCUCUACAGAAAGUUCCUUCUAGAAUGCCUCAUGCGUCAUCCCUGGUGACAAGUGAGUGAGGAGCAGCUGCCAUCUUGCCAGUCCUCAUUUAAACACUGCAGUGUCAUAAGUGAUGUCCAACUUAUUAAAAUCUCUGGUUUUAUAUCCAGGGUUCCCACCAGUUGUGUUUUCAGUGGUAAAAGACUGACACCUCUUGUUUCAGCUGCCCCAGUCAGUUCAUCAGUGAUAAGUAUUUCUGCGUCACGAGUACAUUACAAUCAGGCCUUACAUUUUGUAAAUGCCCAGUCAUGGUCUAAAAUCUGAAUGAGCUUCGGCAGUGUUGGGCAGCCCCAUUUCACAAUGAACCUAAUGCAGAAAAACCAAGAGACUGAUGGAGGUCUAAGGAGCAAGACCCAAACUCUAGUGUCUGACCCAUUUUUUGCUUGGCUAAACGGAUUAAAGCCAAUGUUUUGUGAACUACAGAGCCAGCUCUCUUUAAGGUUGCUCUCAGCUUAGCACUGUCCUAUGCUGGCCUCCUUGUCAUUAUGGGAAACACUCUGCUGUGGGAGCAGAUUGGGUGUGUAAGCUCUGCCUCCAGACUACAUCUCCAGCUCACCCUCUGAAGACCAAGAGCAUGUGAGAAGAACCCUGGCCACAGUCUGUGUAUCCUGGCUGAGUUCCUUAACUGGGAGUCUCUGUUUUCCGGUUUGUAAAACAGGAACACAAUAGUAGCAGUCUUCUUAGGGUUGAGGUCAGAGUUACAAGAGGACAUGAGAAAUGUCCAGGUGUGCCUGAGCAGCCAGCAGGGGCUUCUGGGUAAUUAGAUCCCUUCAGCGGCACUUUUCCUUUUCCCUUAGUUGAGAGACUUGUGGGAGACAGAAGGAAAUAAAAAUAGCCAGGAAGGAUUUGUGUGAAGUCAAAAAUAGUUCUGUAGAAUAGAUGAGAAUACGAGGCAGUUAAGAGUUAGGUUUGUACCUCUUCCCCCAACCCUGAGAAUCUCGGAGGCAUUGUCGUAUGCGUUACUGAGUAUGAUGGAAUGAUUUGGGUAGUUUGAGCUUGUUCUUGGACACGUGCACUCCAUAACGGAAUUAUUUAUCGAAAGCUCUGAGGCUGGGGGAGAUAAGCUUUGAACUGUAGACAGUCUGGUGCUCAUUGCCGAUUCCAGGUGGCCCACCCACCUUCCGCCCCCAAAUUACCCUGCCAGGGAGCAAACUCCACAAAUUUGCUGCUGCUUGGUAACACCGCCCCCUUCCCUGUCUUCGCUUUGGCAGAAGGUUCAGCACCCCAUUGAAUUCAGUGGAAAAGAGAGUCAUCAGUGGUGGGGAGGAGAGCUCCAGGCUCCUGCACACCAAGAGAGACGAACCACCUGGUUCUAUGCCCUGUACAGACCUCCUGCACUCAGAGAUCUAAAGGGUAGAUGCGCAACUUGCAUUGCUCACCAAGUCAGCUUUAGGCAAACUCGAUUUGGAUUGGUUUAGGGAUGCCAAGGGUGGGACAUUAAAGCUUCCAGUCCUUUCUGCCAAAACUCUGCAGACAUUGCAAUAGAUCCCAGAGGUAGUUUAAGAAUCAACAGCACCCAGACCCAACAGAACAAGUUACAACUAAGACAGUGGUGCUGUUUUGGUUUUUUGUUUCAAGGCCCUGAACAAAAAGGUUGAGAAAAUGAGUCAAAACUUUUUCAAAAUAUGUCACUGCCUUCUCUACAUUUUAAGAAAUCACUAUGUGUAAUGUCUAAAAUGCACUGGGGGUGGGGGUUCCCCUUCACUACUAAUUUUUUUUUCCUCCUGGAGAAUUCUGUUGCUUCCCUUUGCUGACCUGUAGCACAGUAUUGUUUUCCAAACCACCCAUGCCUACCUUAUUUUAUUAAGAAGAAAUCCUUGCAUUGCUCUAUGCUUCGGUCUGAACCAUGAGCAAGGUGUUUGGUAUUCAUCCUGGCACUCCUUAGCAAUUACAUCUCCCAAGGAUGCUAGCUGCACUUAGUACAAAGUCCUGUUUCCCCAUAUGAGCUCUGAUAGGUUUUCCUGUGGAACUCCAGAUUCUUACACUUUGCUCUGCUGAUAUAGGCAAGCUGACCUACUCUAGCUGAGUAGGUCGUGGUAGAAGUAACCACAGACAUAUAUUGACUUAUAAACAUUUUCGACUAGCUUCACUGGAAGUAGCAAAUUCUUGAAUUACCUUUAAUUAUGUCACUUGCAAUUUUUUUACAAGGUAGAAUUUUCUGCCUUUCAAAUUCUCCUUGGCUGUGUUAGUCCUCCCUCUGUGAGGUCUGGAAUCUGAGUUCUUUUUAGUAGCUAAUCUCCAAAGUUGAAGGACAAUGAAUCCCAAAGAAGCAAUCAGUUUAUUAAACAACCUCUAGACCUGUACAUCAUUUGUGAACAGCCCUAGCAACUAUUUCUGCACUCAGAGGAGGUAAGUUUAAGUCUCCCCCAAGGAGCCACUUCCUCCAGCGCAGGCAGCAAUGAGUGACAGUAUAUGUGCUGGGUUCUCUGGAAGAACAGGAGUGACAGAAUGGAUAUAUAUUGCAAAGGGCAACUUGUUACAUUCACUUACAUUAUAGUGGGGGGGUGGUUAGUUCAUAAAUAGCUUGUUAUAUCGGCUUACAUUGUGGUGGUGGGGUUAGUUCAUAAAUAGUUCUUUGCAUACUGAAGAGGGCAAAAUCUCAGAAGCCUCAUUGGUGCCAGCCUGUCACUGAAGACCCAGAGGGUUCUUGGACAGUGACUGAUGGGCCACAGGCCAAAGACGCUGGAGUCCAAUGUCAGUGAAUGAUGGCAGCAGCAGCAGCAACUGCUAGGUAGAUGCACUCCGUGCACUCAUAGCAAGGAGCAAAGGCAACCGAGCCAGCAGAAGCAACACUGCUUUUCCCUCAGACCUCUUACAUCUCAGCGGCUCACUCUGGGGGAGGGUAUCCCUACCCCACACCUAUUAACCCUGCCUAGACAUUCCCUCAUAGACCCACAGAGGGACAUGGUUUUGUGGUGGUAGUGAUGGUGGUGGUGGUAACUCCAGAUCUACACCAGUAGACCAUAUUAGCCAUCACAGAUGGAAGGUAGAAAAUACUCACUGAUAACAUGGGUAGAUGUAUAAUUCCAUUAUGAGAAGUUAUGGAGAAUUUGACAUCUAGCCAUAAUAUAAUAUGACUUACAUUGUGUUGUUUUGGGUGUUUUGUUUUGUUUUUUAAUAUUUAUGGUCCCCAGAUUUGUGGCUCUUUUCCAUUUUGCCAUCCACAACUUCCUGGUCCCCUAAUGAGUUCCAGGUUCUUUCAUCAAAGCCUAUCCAUGUGUUUCCUUUCUUGAGACUUCCUCCCAGGUCUUUUCUGCUCCAAUCCUUCACAUUCCAGUAGGAAGUCUGUAUUCUCUUCUCAAGCUGGGGUUUUCUGAUUGUGAUCCUUAACACUGGGAAUUCAAGCAUUUGAAAUUAUCCUCCUUAAACAUACUUGGUUUUAUCCUUUUUUAAAAAAUCUGUAACAUAUGAAAAGGUAAAAGAUUCAGACAACAGUGAGAAGGUAAAUAUCCAUUACUUGUCCUUUGAGGGAUGUAUAUUAGUGGCAGAAACCCCUAGUGUUGAAUGUGAUGCAGGAUGUGUUGUUUUUGCUUUGUAGCUCAACUGAUCUCAAGAGAUGUGUAGGCCAAGAUGUCCUCAAAUCCACAAUCCUGGCUUUGUUCACUAAAGGCUCAGAUUAUAGGGGUGUUUUACCACAUCCAGCAGGAAAUGUAAUUUUCAAUUGCUUU